UACGGAGGAUGCGAGCGUUAUCCGGAUUUAUUGGGUUUAAAGGGUGCGUAGGCGGAUUGAUAAGUCAGUGGUGAAAUUCUACAGCUUAACUGUAGACUUGCCGUUGAUACUGUUAGUCUUGAGUGUGGUCAAGCAGGCGGAAUGUGUAAUGUAGCGGUGAAAUGCUUAGAUAUUACUCAGAACACCGAUUGCGAAGGCAGCUUACUAAUCCACAACUGACACUGAGGCACGAAAGCGUGGGGAGGCAAACAGGAUUA
rnacentral:rRNA from 1 species